rnacentral:rRNA from 1 species
CCUACGGGUGGCAGCAGUGAGGAAUAUUGGUCAAUGGGCGCGAGCCUGAACCAGCCAAGUAGCGUGAAGGAGGACUGCCCUACGGGUUGUAAACUUCUUUUAUAAAGGAAUAAAGUGAGGCACGUGGGCCUUGUUGUAUGUACUUGAUGAAUAAGGAUCGGCUAACUCCGUGCCAGCAGCCGCGGUAAUACGGAGGAUCCGAGCGUUAUCCGGAUUUAUUGGGGUUCAAGGGAGCGUAGAGGGGUUGUUCAGUCAGUUGGGCAAGUUUGCGGCUCAACCGUAAAAUUGCACUUGAUACUUGCAGUCUUGAGUACAGUUGAGGUCGGCGGACUUCGUGGUGUAGCGGU